AUUCCAGCUCCAGUAGCGUAUAUUAAAGUUGUUGCAGUUAAAAAGCUCGUAGAUGGAUUUCUGACUUCAGAUACCUGACCCUCCCUCGCUAGAGGUGUGUGUGCCGGAGUAUUUGUAUCAUCCUUUCAGUGAUCGGCUCUACCCUUAACCGGGUCGGAGCUGCUAGCUGGAUCUUUUACUUUGAAGAAAUUGGAGUGUUUAAAGCAGGCUUACGCCAGAACAUAUUAGCAUGGAAUAAUAAUUUAGGACUUUUGUUCUAUUUUGUUGGUUUCUAGGACGAAAGUAAUGAUUGAUAGGGAUAGUUGGGGGUGCUAGUAUUCGGCGGCCAGAGGUGAAAUUCUUUGAUCCGCUGAAGACUAACUUAUGCGAAAGCAUUCACCAAGGAUGUCUUCAUUG
rnacentral:rRNA from 1 species